CCCUGUGGUUAAUACGUUUGCAUUAUGCUCGCAUGCUCCCGGGUUCAGUCCUACUGCAUGGAAACAUAGGCAAGUGUCUUCUAUAACUGUGUUAGUUACAAUGCCUUGCAAUUGGAUCUGGUAGACGGAAACUGAAAGAAGCCCGCCGUAUAUGUAUGUAUGUAUACGUAUGUGUAUUUGCAUGUAUGUAGGCGUAUGUGUGUAUGUAUAUAUGCAUACGUAUGUGUGUGUUGGAAGACAAACUGGUGUUGAUUUGUUUGAACCCGCAACGAAGCGGUUCGGCAACAAAGAUUGAAAAAUCUAUUUAGCUGGUAACAAAUAUUGCUCCUACUUGAGAAGUUAGCAUAAGAAAAGGAAUCUGGUUGCAAAAAAUGAUCCUCAACAAUAAACAGAUGUCCAAAUUUAUAAAACCAUCCCAAUCUUUGAUAAAUGGAUGUACACACACACACACACACACA